ACGCUGGCGGCGUGCCUAACACAUGCAAGUCGAGCGAGGAGAUUCCUUCGGGAUGAUCCUAGCGGCGACGGGUGAGUAACACGUGGGCAACCUGCCUCAUAGAGAGGAAUAGCCUUCCGAAAGGGAGAUUAAUACCUCAUAACAUUGCAGUUUCGCAUGGAACAGCAAUUAAAGGAGUAAUCCGCUAUGAGAUGGGCCCGCGGCGCAUUAGCUAGUUGGUGAGGUAACGGCUCACCAAGGCGACGAUGCGUAGCCGACCUGAGAGGGUGAUCGGCCACAUUGGGACUGAGACACGGCCCAGACUCCUACGGGAGGCAGCAGUGGGGAAUAUUGCACAAUGGGGGAAACCCUGAUGCCAGCAACGCCGCGUGAGUGAUGACGGCCUUCGGGUUGUAAAGCUCUGUCUUCAGGGACGAUAAUGACGGUACCUGAGGAGGAAGCCACGGCUAACUACGUGCCAGCCGCGGC
rnacentral:rRNA from 1 species